rnacentral:rRNA from 1 species
UACAGAGGGUGCGAGCGUUAAUCGGAAUUACUGGGCGUAAAGGGCGUGCAGGCGGUCAGGUAAGUGGGAUGUGAAAUGCCCCGGCUCACCCGGGGACCGGCAUCUCAUACUGCUUGGCUUGAGUACGGGAGAGGAUGUGGGAAUUCCUGGUGUAGCGGUGAAAUGCGUAGAUAUCAGGAGGAACACCGGUGGCGAAGGCGCACAUCUGGCCCGAUACUGACGCUGAGGCGCGAAAGCUAGGGGAGCAAACGGG